UGGGGAAUUUUGGACAAUGGGCGAAAGCCUGAUCCAGCAAUGCCGCGUGCAGGAUGAAGGCCUUCGGGUUGUAAACUGCUUUUGUACGGAACGAAAAGCUUCGGGUUAAUACCCUGGAGUCAUGACGGUACCGUAAGAAUAAGCACCGGC
rnacentral:rRNA from 1 species